rnacentral:rRNA from 1 species
UCGGGAAUUUUGGGCAAUGGGCGAAAGCCUGACCCAGCAACGCCGCGUGAAGGAUGAAGUAUUUCGGUAUGUAAACUUCGAAAGAAUAGGAAGAAUAAAUGACGGUACUAUUUAUAAGGUCCGGCUAACUACGUGCCAGCAGCCGCGGUAAUACGUAGGGACCAAGCGUUGUUCGGAUUUACUGGGCGUAAAGGGCGCGUAGGCGGUGUGUCAAGUCAGUUGUGAAAUCUCCGAGCUUAACUCGGAACGGUCAACUGAUACUGUCACACUAGAGUACAGAAGGGGCAAUCGGAAUUCUUGGUGUAGCGGUGAAAUGCGUAGAUAUCAAGAGGAACACCUGAGGCGAAGGCGGGUUGCUGGGCUGAUACUGACGCUGAGGCGCGAAAGCUAGGGUAGCAAACGGGGAUUAGAUACCCACGUAGUCCCUGAGCGGGC